rnacentral:rRNA from 1 species
UUGAAGAGUUUGAUCAUGGCUCAGAUUGAACGCUGGCGGCAGGCCUAACACAUGCAAGUCGAGCGGUUGAGGAUAGCUUGCUAUCCAAAGCAGCGGCGGACGGGUGAGUAACGCGUGGGAAUCUACCUAGUAGAGGGGGACAACUCGGGGAAACUCGAGCUAAUACCGCAUACGCCCUACGGGGGAAAGGAGGGGAUCUUCGGACCUUCCGCUAUUAGAUGAGCCCGCGUUAGAUUAGCUAGUUGGUAGGGUAAAGGCCUACCAAGGCGACGAUCUAUAGCUGGUCUGAGAGGAUGAUCAGCCACAUUGGGACUGAGACACGGCCCAAACUCCUACGGGAGGCAGCAGUGGGGAAUAUUGGACAAUGGGCGAAAGCCUGAUCCAGCAAUGCCGCGUGAGUGAUGAAGGCCUUAGGGUUGUAAAGCUCUUUUACCAGGGAUGAUAAUGACAGUACCUGGAGAAUAAGCUCCGGCUAACUCCGUGCCAGCAGCCGCGGUAAUACGGAGGGUCCGAGCGUUAAUCGGAAUUACUGGGCGUAAAGCGCACGCAGGCGGUUUGUUAAGCUAGAUGUGAAAGCCCCGGGCUCAACCUGGGAAUAGCAUUUAGAACUGGCAGACUAGAGUCUUGGAGAGGGGAGUGGAAUUUCUGGUGUAGCGGUGAAAUGCGUAGAUAUCUGGAGGAACAUCAGUGGCGAAGGCGACUCACUGGAUCAAUACUGACGCUGAGGUGCGAAAGCGUGGGGAGCAAACAGGAUUAGAUACCCUGGUAGUCCACGCCGUAAACGAUGUCUACUAGCCGUUGGGGAACUUGAUUCUUUAGUGGCGCAGCUAACGCACUAAGUAGACCGCCUGGGGAGUACGGCCGCAAGGUUAAAACUCAAAUGAAUUGACGGGGGCCCGCACAAGCGGUGGAGCAUGUGGUUUAAUUCGAUGAUACGCGAGGAACCUUACCAGGGCUUAAAUGUAGUAUGACAGGUUUAGAGAUAGACUUUUCUUCGGACAUAUUACAAGGUGCUGCAUGGUUGUCGUCAGCUCGUGCCGUGAGGUGUCAGGUUAAGUCCUAUAACGAGCGCAACCCUUGUCAUUAGUUGCCAGCAUGUAAAGAUGGGGACUCUAAUGAGACUGCCGGUGCAAACCGCGAGGAAGGUGGGGAUGACGUCAAAUCAUCACGGCCCUUACGUCCUGGGCCACACACGUGCUACAAUGGCAGGUACAGAGAGCAGCCAUGUCGCAAGGCAGAGCGAAUCUAUAAAACCUGUCACAGUUCGGAUCGGGGUCUGCAACUCGACCCCGUGAAGCUGGAAUCGCUAGUAAUCGCCGGUCAGCAUACGGCGGUGAAUCCGUUCCCGGGCCUUGUACACACCGCCCGUCACACCAUGGAAGUUGGUUAUGCCCGAAGUCGUUACCUGAAAGGGUUCGCCUAAGGUGGAGCUGAUGACUGGGGUGAAGUCGUAACAAGGUAGCCGUACGGGAACGUGCGGCUGGAUCACCUCCUU